rnacentral:lncRNA from 1 species
ACCCAGUAAUUCAUUAUUACUGGCUAAGCUAUUGGUGGCAUUGCAUGGUUUAUAUAAGUGUGCUGUCCAGAAACUUCCAUUACCUUGGAGAGUCCUGAGUUGUUAUAUUACAGUUCUUCAUCUUAGAAGGUGGUCAUAAGAAAGUUUAGUGCUGAAACUAGAAGAAUUAUACCAGAAAUAAAAUGCAUAAGGUCAUUGAAAAUGCUUACACAAGCGUGUGUGGUUAUUUGGUUAUAAAAAGCCCUUUAUUUAGUAAAAUAUCUGCUGUUUAGGAAAGGCUGGAAUUCAUAUAAAGGUUGCUCUUAGACUUAAAAUCUAUUUAAAAGUAUUGUGAAUAAUUACUUGUGGUAAAUGUUAUUGACAUUGACUCAUAGGGUCUGAUGUACAUUGGUUUAAUGUUCCAAAUAACAGGUCUUAAAAUCCAGAUUCUUCUACUUUCAAGUGUCCCUAAUGCCCCAAUAAAUUAGCUCUUAGAUUAACACUUUGUUGAAUUAAGGUAAUCUAAUGUGUUUUUUAGAAUCUGCACGACUCAUAAAAGUGUUCAGCUGUGUUUUUCAGAAAUAAUUAGAAAUUUAGAAACUUUGAAAAUCUGGAGUCUCACUUUCUCGUAACUUCUGGAAAACUGAUUAACUUUUCUUCUUUUGUCUUUUUCUUUCUUCCUGUGUUCCCAUCCCCGAGCCCUGCAGAGCAAAGAUGGGCUCGGUGCUGUUUGUGUGUCUCCUGCUCAGGACGUGGACGGCUGUGGUUGCUGUGGGUGGAGAGCGCAGAUCAGGAGAGCGCGGCUGGAAGGGCUCAGUCUUUAGAAUGAGGAGCCCCAGACUUUGGAUAAGAACAAGAAAAUCUGUCUUCUAAAGAGAAAGGUGUUAAGCCACAGCUGAGGAUGACAGACUUUUCCCAUGAAAUCACUGCAUUGCACUAUGCAUUAAGCGCUGUACCUCUACCCCAGGUAAAGAAAUCUUCUGUGAGGAGGAGAACUUCUGAAAUCUUAAUGUUAGUGACUAUGUAAAUAUAAUAUGCUUUAUUGGGCAAGUCAGUUCACAAUUUCACAGAGUGUGUUGUGCUAGAGAGUGAU